rnacentral:rRNA from 1 species
CCUACGGGAGGCAGCAGUGGGGAAUAUUGGGCAAUGGGCGCAAGCCUGACCCAGCAACGCCGCGUGAAGGAAGAAGGCUUUCGGGUUGUAAACUUCUUUUCUGAGGGACGAAGAAAGUGACGGUACCUCAGGAAUAAGCCACGGCUAACUACGUGCCAGCAGCCGCGGUAAUACGUAGGUGGCAGGCGUUAUCCGGAUUUAUUUGGUGUAAAGGUCGUGUAGGCGGGCAAGCAAGUCAGAUGUGAAAACUCAGGGCUCAACCCGGAGCCUGCAUUUGAAAAGGUUUUUCUUGAGUGCUGGAGAGGCAAUCGGAAUUCCGUGUGUAGCGGUGAAAUGCGUAGAUAUACGGAGGAACACCAGUGGCGAAGGCGGAUUGCUGGACAGUAACUGACGCUGAGGCGCGAAAGCGUGGGGAGCAAACAGGAUUAGAUACCCUUGUAGUC